rnacentral:ncRNA from 2 species
ACUUAUUCUCAGGGCGGGGUGCAAUUCCCCACCGGCGGUAUUCCGGGAUCGGCGGUCGGCGUCGUGCCUGGAGAGCCCGCGAGCGCCUGUGCCGGGCCGGUUGUGCCGGCGCAGGGUCCAGCAGAUCUGGUGCAAGGCCAGAGCCGACGGUGACAGUCCGGAUGAAAGAGGAUAAGG